rnacentral:sRNA from 1 species
AGAGGGAGCAGGGACACACCGGAAGACGGGAAUUAGCCUUGUGGACUGGACUGUGCCUCAAGGGCAAGAUUCCAGCCAUUGGCUUCCAUCUAGUGAAAACGCAAGUCCAUCUGAGAGGAGAGAACUGGAACUGGGACUGUUGCUGAAGGGGACCCUGCUCGAAAACAAUCAUUGAAGAAGGACUUUGGAUUCUUUCUCCAAAGGCAUACAAAGGCCACCACUAUGGUACCUGAGGGAGCAAGAGUACAUCUCCAUCUAGCAGUGGAAUUUGUUGGCCUUGUCUACAUGGUACUGUUGAUAUGAGAGAUGAGAAAGCAUGUGUCCCACAGAGGCUUGCACCAGUGGGCUAUAGAGCCAGGCAAUGUGCGGCAGGUUGGAAUCUCUGCGUGGAGCUCCAUUGUAUGAAGCUAUGAAGGUAAAACUCAAGCUGCAACUCCAGCAUGUUAGGGAUGCUGGGACUAUGGGACAUCCACCAAGAACAACUAUAGGCAUGGAGCAUAGAUGGCACCAGAGAAAGGCUGUGCGUGCUGCAGAUGGCAGAACUGGAGGGAAAGGCUUAGGUAUCCCUUUGGAGCCCAGUUGAUUUUAUCAUAAGUCCUGGCUGCUGGACAUGGAGCUGAAUGAUUUAGUGUUGUUCCUGUAGGAUUUGGAUCCUUCCUUGUUAUCCUCUUGUUCUGCAUGUCUAGAAUUGGACAAUACUCUUAUGUCUGUUGAAUGUAUCUAACUUGCACUUUGAUUUUAUAGAGCCUCCUAGUUAAGAGAUUGCUUUGAAUCUCAGAAGAGAUGUUGGGCUCUUGAACCAUGUUUGGACUACUGAAGACCAUAUGGGGAUUGUUGACGUUGGAAAGCAUGGAUUCUGCAUGGAACCCCUGUCAACCAGUGCUAAGGAUGCAGGAACAAGAGCAUCCUGGGAGCUUGCUGGCCAGUCACUCUACCAAAGCAGUGAACUUCAGGUGAGCCAUUCAGCUUAGACAUACAGGGAGGAUAGCUACUUAAAACCAGAUAAAAUGUUAUCUGAACAAAUACUCAUUUAUAUGUUCUGUUAAUUAUCUAAGUUGAUCCUAGAGAGAAAAAAGAAACCAUGAAACUGAACUUGGUUAAAAAUCAGAAACCAUGGAAUUUUCAGGUAAACAGAUGGAACAAGAAAACAUUAUACUGAGUAUGGGAGCCCAGAUGCAGACAGUCAGAUAUUGCAGACAGACAGAUAUCACAUGUUCUCUUUUAUUUGUGCUUCCUAGUUCCAAGUCUUCAGAUAUGCAUGUGCAAUGCGGUGUGACCACAGGAACCAGGAAAGUGAAAAAAGACUGUGGGGGAGGGGGGAGCUCUAGACAGGAGAACACCUGGAUCCAACAAAGAGAAAGAG